ACGAGGCACUACGGUGCUGAAGUAACAAAUGCCCUGCUUCCAGGAAAAGCCUCUAAGCAUCAGGUAACACGAAAUCGUACCCCAAACCGACACAGGUGGUCAGGUAGAGAAUACCAAGGCGCUUGAGAGAACUCGGGUGAAGGAACUAGGCAAAAUGGUGCCGUAACUUCGGGAGAAGGCACGCUGAUAUGUAGGUGAAGUGAUUUACUCAUGGAGCUGAAAUCAGUCGAAGAUACCAGCUGGCUGCAACUGUUUAUUAAAAACACAGCACUGUGCAAACACGAAAGUGGACGUAUACGGUGUGACGCCUGCCCGGUGCCGGAAGGUUAAUUGAUGGGGUUAUCCGUAAGGAGAAGCUCUUGAUCGAAGCCCCGGUAAACGGCGGCCGUAACUAUAACGGUCCUAAGGUAGCGAAAUUCCUUGUCGGGUAAGUUCCGACCUGCACGAAUGGCGUAAUGAUGGCCAGGCUGUCUCCACCCGAGACUCAGUGAAAUUGAACUCGCUGUGAAGAUGCAGUGUACCCGCGGCAAGACGGAAAGACCCCGUGAACCUUUACUAUAGCUUGACACUGAACACUGGUCCUUGAUGUGUAGGAUAGGUGGGAGGCUUUGAAGUGUGGACGCCAGUCUGCAUGGAGCCAUCCUUGAAAUACCACCCUUUAAUGGCUGGUGUUCUAACGUGGACCCGUGAUCCGGGUUGCGGACAGUGUCUGGUGGGUAGUUUGACUGGGGCGGUCUCCUCCUAAAGAGUAACGGAGGAGCACGAAGGUUAGCUAAUCCUGGUCGGACAUCAGGAGGUUAGUGCAAAGGCAUAAGCUAGCUUGACUGCGAGAGUGACGGCUCGAGCAGGUGCGAAAGCAGGUCUUAGUGAUCCGGUGGUUCUGAAUGGAAGGGCCAUCGCUCAACGGAUAAAAGGUACUCCGGGGAUAACAGGCUGAUACCGCCCAAGAGUUCAUAUCGACGGCGGUGUUUGGCACCUCGAUGUCGGCUCAUCACAUCCUGGGGCUGAAGUAGGUCCCAAGGGUAUGGCUGUUCGCCAUUUAAAGUGGUACGCGAGCUGGGUUUAGAACGUCGUGAGACAGUUCGGUCCCUAUCUGCCGUGGGCGCUGGAGAAUUGAGGGGGGCUGCUCCUAGUACGAGAGGACCGGAGUGGACGCAUCACUGGUGUUCGGGUUGUCAUGCCAAUGGCAUUGCCCGGUAGCUAAAUGCGGAAGAGAUAAGUGCUGAAAGCAUCUAAGCACGAAACUUGCCCCG
rnacentral:rRNA from 1 species